UCCCUAAUCCCUAAUCAUCCCAAAUCAAAGAUGGACAAAACCCAUGGACCUCGAAGCUCCGCUGGCACACAACAUUCAAUUCAUCCCAAACAGCACCCUGUUAACACCGGCUGCACCACCUAUGUUCCCUCUCUUGUUCAUCAACUCACCCCACCUCCUUAACACCAUGGCCCUAAAACAACAGAGAUACAGGGUUUGUGGUGCGGUGGUGAGAUGGAAUCUCGCGGUUGGUUCCUUGUUCUGUGGUGGCUGGUGUCUUGCUUCAUGGUGGUUGGUGUUCUUGAACUCAUGGAGUUGAAGCCAUGGAAAGGAGAUGCUGAAGAACUUGGUAAUUGGCAGCUUCAUAAGAUUUGGGGAAACGAUUUUAAUUGUGGAAUUUUCAUUGUGUUAAAAUUCAUGGUUUCAAGUGGUGUUUCAGAAUUUCUGAUUUUUUCCUUUUUCGUUCUGGGUUGGUAAUGGAUCUGGUUCAGGGGACUAUUCAUCUUCAUGAAAACUGGGUUUAGGAAUGUUUUAUUUUUGAAGAUAAUGUUUUGUAAAAGUGAUCUGAAAAAGAAAAGAUGAGUGAAGUAUGUGUUAAUUAGGUUUA